UGGGGAAUAUUGGGCAAUGGGCGCAAGCCUGACCCAGCAACGCCGCGUGAGGGAAGAAUGUCUUCGGAUUGUAAACCUCUGUCCUUGGGGACGAAAAAAAUGACGGUACCCAAGGAGGAAGCUCCGGCUAACUACGUGCCAGCAGCCGCGGUAAUACGUAGGGGGCUAGCGUUGUCCGGAAUUACUGGGCGUAAAGGGUGCGUAGGCGGCGUGGCAAGUCAGAUGUGAAAUCCCCGGGCUUAACUCGGGGGGUGCAUUUGAAACUGCCAAGCUUGAGUGCAGGAGAGGAAAGCGGAAUUCCUAGUGUAGCGGUGAAAUGCGUAGAUAUUAGGAGGAACACCAGUGGCGAAGGCGGCUUCCUGGACUGCAACUGACGCUGAGGCACGAAAGCGUGGGGAGCAAACA
rnacentral:rRNA from 1 species